rnacentral:rRNA from 1 species
GUCCACACCGUAAACGUUGGGCGCUAGGUGUGGGACUCAUUCCACGAGUUCCGUGCCGCAGCUAACGCAUUAAGCGCCCCGCCUGGGGAGUACGGCCGCAAGGCUAAAACUCAAAGGAAUUGACGGGGGCCCCGCACAAGCGGCGGAGCAUGCGGAUUAAUUCGAUGCAACGCGAAGAACCUUACCUGGGUUUGACAUACACCGGAAAGCUGCAGAGAUGUAGCCCCUUUUAGUCGGUGUACAGGUGGUGCAUGGCUGUCGU